rnacentral:rRNA from 1 species
UACAGAGGUCUCAAGCGUUGUUCGGAAUCACUGGGCGUAAAGGGUGCGUAGGCGGCGUGGAAAGUCAGAUGUGAAAUCCGGGGGCUCAACCUCCGAAUAGCAUCCGAUACUACCAUGCUAGAGAACUGGAGGGGAGUCUGGAAUUCUCGGUGUAGCAGUGAAAUGCAUAGAUAUCGAGAGGAACACCAGUGGCGAAGGCGAGACUCUGGACAGUAUCUGACGCUGAUGCACGAAGGCCAGGGUAGCGAACGGG